AUCUGUGUGGGAAAUUAAAAAACAAUGAGUUUUUAGUGUCGUGUAAAGUUAUUAUACCCGUUGCAAAACAACUUUUUGCCACGCCCACUCUAACGCCCACAAACCGCCAAAACCUGUCAGUGGGGAAAUUUCUCCUUUGCACUUCCAUCAGCUGAGUAACGGGUAUCACAUAGUCGGGGAACUCGACUAUAGCGUUCUCUCUUGUUUUUCUUAUUACUACUUUGUUCAACUUACCCCGAUCUUUGUUCAUCAAUCCGGAGUCAAACGCAAAUCCAAAUUGUCGUCGUCGUACCAUUCCAUUGACGCUAAAUCUUGGCCGUUUCAAAAGCAGUGGACGAUUAAGGCUGCAGAAGCAACUCCCAGAAAAGCUGAAAAUGUACUCAAGGUGGAGUGGCAGCGUGAGAAGGAUGAGCAGACAGAAGAUGAUAAAAGUGAGGAAUCCAGUGUGAACCUCAGUUCGGAACGUUCAGAAAGAGACACGGGUCGUAACCAGCAGUAUGAGGAGGCGGUGCCACCGGCAGGAGAGGCAAUGAGAAUCGGGCCAGGGAGGCCUAAAAUAAUUCGGACCGGCAAGUCAGGCCGACCAAGGAAGGAAUAUAUGAAACACCCUAAGAUUUUCGACUACGUUGAGUGCAAGGACAGGGUUCUGAGGCUCAAUAAGGCGAUAUACGGACUAAAAUAGGCAGGACGAGAGUGAAACGCCACUUUAGAUGAAGCACUUUAAGAGAUCGGUUUCGUGACCUGCCAAUACGAAGCAUAUUUGUACAAACAGGACAUAAACGAGUGGAUCUUAUGCAUAUCAAGUCUAAAAUAGCUUCGAGAUUAAAUGCAUGGACAAAGGUUAGCUGACCACGUUUUUGGGUAUGCAGAUAGAACGUGAAGGCGAGUUGGACAGUAUAACGAUGAAUGAGACGUUGUACAUCAAGGAUAUGCUGCAGAGACGCGGCUUGGAGCACUAGAAGAGUUAAUGUGGGUUGCGUUAACAUCAAGGCCAGAUAUCUAUCACUCAGUUGUGAAGCUGGCGCAGCGAAAUACGAACUUGCAUAGCGAACCUUUAUUGGCUUUGAAACGAGUGAUGCGGUAUUUGGCAGAAACGGCCAAGAAAAUCUUAAGCUAUCAGGAUGGAGGGUUGCCGUUGGUGGGUUUCUACGUCAGCCACCAAAGUUCGUAUACAAGAUUUGUUUUCUUCUUGUCAGGAGACCCUAUCUUCUGGAAGUCGGAUAAGGAAAACAGUGUUGCAUUAAGCAGCACGGAAGCAAAAUAUAUGUCGCUUUCAUCAGCUGUAAAGGAGGCUCUGCAUCUGAAGCAUUUAAUUAUUGCGAUUGGUUGUGGAAGGAAGGAUACCCCAACAACCUUAGCGCUCAGAAUUUGGCCAGAAAUUCAGUUUACCAUGCUCGGUCAAAGCAUAUUGAUAUCAGGUAUCAUUUCAUUAGGAUAGUUAUCCAGAAAGGCGAUGUUGAAUUAAAAUAUGUACCAACUAACGAUAUGAUAGCCAAUAUUGUAACAUCCAUAGUUGAUUAAGUGGUGAGAUCUUCGCUAAAUUGUUGGACGAUUGGGACCCUAGUUGCAGCUAGCUAACUAUCGCCAUUGGUGUUCACUCGAUCAGAAAGCCACAUUUAAUAAAAUUUAUAGUCCCGUGCCUAUUACGUAGAUGAACAAGACUUAUAAUUAAUGCAUAAAAAAAUUUAAAAGAAAGAACAAAAUUCUGAGACCACAUGGGUGUAUGAUGCUGCCAAGCCAGUAUAUCUAAUGGAAAUGAGGUUACACUGAUGGUAUAGC